AUGGUAGGAUAGAGGCCUACCAUGGUUUUAACGGGUAACGGGGAAUUAGGGUUCGAUUCCGGAGAGGGAGCCUGAGAAACGGCUACCACAUCCAAGGAAGGCAGCAGGCGCGCAAAUAACCCAAUCCCGACACGGGGAGGUAGUGACAAUAAAUAACAAUAUGGGGCUCUUACGAGUCUCGUAAUUGGAAUGAGUACAAUUUAAAUCUCUUAACGAGGAACAAUUGGAGGGCAAGUCUGGUGCCAGCAGCCGCGGUAAUUCCAGCUCCAAUAGCGUAUAUUAAAGUUGUUGCAGUUAAAAAGCUCGUAGUUGAAUUUCGGAAUCUGUCCGUCGGUCGGGCUUCACUGUCCGUACUGGUGUGAUGGGUUUCUACCUUCUGAAUAACCGGCAUGUCAUUAAUUUGGUGCGCCGGGGAAGCAGAACUAUUACCUUGAAAAAAUUAGAGUGCUUAAAGCAGGCUAUCGCCUGAAUAGAUUAGCAUGGAAUAAUAAAAUAGGACGGCAUGGUUCUAUUUUGUUGGUUUCUAGGAUCACCGUAAUGAUUAAUAGGGAUAGUUGGGGGCAUUAGUAUUCAAUUGUCAGAGGUGAAAUUCUUGGAUUUAUUGAAGACUAACUUCUGCGAAAGCAUUUGCCAAGGAUGUUUUCAUUAAUCAAGAACGAAAGUUAGGGGAUCGAAGACGAUCAGAUACCGUCGUAGUCUUAACCAUAAACUAUGCCGACUAGGGAUCGGACGAUGUUAAUUUUUUAAUGACUCGUUCGGCGCCUUACGGGAAACCAAAGUGUUUGGG
rnacentral:rRNA from 1 species